AAAAGUGCACUCACCACUCCAAUCGCUAAAGGUUGUUGUCGGUAAGCUAUUGCUAGGAAGUCUCGGGAACUUGAUCGAAAAGUACAUCAAGCUCUCACUACUCUCUUCUUCAGAUGGUCAUCCUCAAAAAGCUCUGUAACCCUUGCUUUUUGAAACCUAUCCAAGAUAAGGUAGUUUGAUGGGUUUGGAUCCAAAUUCUCAGUAUCUCUCUUGUUCUUCAAAUGUUUCUGCUAGUUCUUGCAAAUUAGAAGAUAAAGUGUAAACGGAGAAUUUAGAAACUGAAACAAGGAAUGGAAAGCCAUCACCUGUAGUUGUGCAUGAGCUUGCAAAGGAAAUUGGCUUACAAGAAGAUGAGAAAUCAUUACAAUGAAGCGAUGCUGAAAAUCAUGAAGAUGAUAUCAUUUAAAUCAUUAGGAGGUUGAACUAGGCUUUUGUUGAUGAUGGUUUCUUUUUGUAGUCAUUGCAUUGAUAUUUGUUUUUAUG